UUGCGAUGGUCACACACCUGGAGAGAUGCAUUCUGAUGUACGAGCUGGCGGUCCUUGUUUCCCAAUCACCAUGCCAGUAAAUGAAGGACAUUUCCAAAAGAACUGCAUGGAGUUCAAAAGAUCAGCCCCAGCACCUGGAAGGAAUACUCGAGAACAGUUGAACCUACUGACGUCCUUUGUGGACGCCUCUAACGUGUACGGACUCAGUCAGGAUCAGAUCAAUCACCUCAGGAAUGGAC